GGAGAGCUGACCGAGUGGCCGAAGGUGCCUGAUUCGAAAUCAGGUGUACCCGCAAGGGUACCAAGGGUUCGAAUCCCUUGCUCUCCGCCG
rnacentral:tRNA from 1 species